ACGGAGUCGCCUGUUUACCAAAACAUCUACGUGAUCUGAGUUCAGACCGGAGUCGCCUGUUUACCAAAAACGUCCACUUGACAUUGACCUGGACGAACGGCACCACGAGGGUUUUACUGUCUCCCUCCCCCAAUCAAUGAAACUAAUCCCCCCGUGAAGAAGCGGGGAUAAACCUAUAAGACGAGAAGACCCCAUGGAGCUUAAAACCAAGUAUCACUUGCACGCUACAUAUACCCCCAAAGCCUCGCAAAUCUGUCUUACUGGUUUUUGGUUGGGACGACCAUGGGGUAAAGUAAAACCCCCAUGAUGAAAAGAACUAACCUCUUAAUCAAAGAACCACAACUCGCAGAAUCAACACAUUGACUAAAAUUGACCCAACACCUUGAGCAACGAACCAAGUUACCCUGGGGAUAACAGCGCAAUCCAUUUCAAGAGCCCCUAUCGACAAAUGGGUUUACGACCUCGAUGUUGGAUCAGGGUGUCCCAGUGGUGCAGCCGCUACUAAAGGUUCGUUUGUUCAACGAUGAAUA
rnacentral:rRNA from 1 species